rnacentral:tRNA from 1 species
GCAGAUAUGGUUGAAUGGUAAAAAUUCUCUUUGCCAAGGAGAAGAAGCGGGUUUGAUUCCCACUAUCCGCC